AGUCAGAGCAGGCUGCUUUGAUGUCUUUGCUUGAUGAGCUCCGCUUUUGUCAGCAAUGCAGACGGUCUCCCCGGGACCCCACGCCUGGAGAGAGUGCCAAGAAAGGGACGACCCUAAGCAUGGAGCCUGGAAAUGGGAGCACAGAAAUGCCACCACCUGUGGGCCUCUGAGCGAGUUCCUUACCCUCUCUGUGGCUUAGUUUCCUCAUUUGUAAAAUGGGUAACCAUUGUUCCUGCCUCUCAGGGCCACACUUCAAGCCUAGCUCACCACAACUUAGCUGGAAGGUCCACCCUCUAACUUCAGAUGGAGAUGCCUCUGUUGGAGCCCAGGCGUCAGCUGAUGGAUAGAGACAGUGGCCGCAGACACCCAGGGCUGUGCCGCCAGCUCAUGACGCCUGCCCAC